UACGGGGGGGGCAAGCGUUGUUCGGAAUUACUGGGCGUAAAGGGCUCGUAGGCGGCCAACUAAGUCAGACGUGAAAUCCCUCGGCUUAACCGGGGAACGGCCUCUGAUACUGGCUGGCUGGAGUUCGGGAGAGGGAUGCGGAAUUCCAGGUGUAGCGGUGAAAUGCGUAGAUAUCAGGAAGAACACCCGUGGCGAAGGCGGCUCUCUGGGACGGUACUGACGCUGAGACGCGAAAGCGUGGGGAGCGAACAGG
rnacentral:rRNA from 1 species